GAUGGGUAGGGGAGCGUCGUGUGCCGGGUGAAGCAGCCGCGGAAGCGAGUUGUGGACGGUUCACGAGUGAGAAUGCAGGCAUGAGUAGCGAUACACACGUGGGAAACGUGUGCGCCGAUUGACUAAGGGUUCCUGGGUCAAGCUGAUCUGCCCAGGGUAAGUCGGGACCUAAGGCGAGGCCGACAGGCGUAGUCGAUGGACAACCGGUUGAUAUUCCGGUACCCGCUUUGAAACGCCCAAUAUCGAAUC
rnacentral:ncRNA from 1 species